rnacentral:lncRNA from 1 species
CAUUAUCAUCAUCAUCAUCGUCAUUGCGACGACCAUAGCUAGGCUUCCUGUAACUCCCCUCUUCCUGUUCCUCAGACCUUCCAUAGCUAGGCUUCCUGUAACUCCCUUCCUCCUGAUCCUCAGAUCUUCCAUAGCUAGGCUUAAUGUAACUCUCCACCUGUUCCUCAGACCCUCCAUAACUUGGUUUCCUGUAACUACCUUCCUCCUGAUCCUCAGAUCUCCCAUAGCUAGGCUUCCUGUAACCUUCCUCUUGAUCCUCAGAUCUCCCAUAGCUAGGCUUCCUGUAACCUUCCUCUUGUUCCUCAGAUCUUCCAUAGCUAGGCUUCCUGUAGCCUUCCUCUUGAUCCUCAGAUCUUCCAUAGCUAGGCUUCCUGUAACUUCCUUCUUCCUGAUCCUCAGAUCUUCCAUAGCUAGGUUUCUUGUAACCUUCCUCUUGUUCCUCAGACCUUCCAUAGCUAGGCUUCCUGUAACCUUCUUCUUGUUCCUCAGACCUACCAUAGCUAGGCUUACGCUCAUACUCAGACUCUGAUCUGCCACCAUAUCCAGAUCCAAGACCCGAUUCAGGUCUCCUCCCAUACUCAACCUCAGUUCUUCCACCACCAGAUCCAUACUCCGAUUGAUUCUCCGUUCUACCACCAUAACUCUGCUCAGGUCUCCGACCAUACUCCGUCUCAGUUUCACCACCAUAUCCAGAUUCAGGCCUCCUACCAUACUCACUCUCCGUCUGACCACCAUAACCAGAUCCAGAUCCAUAACCAGGAUUCGGCCUCUCACCUUGAACAUGACCGCCACCACCUGAAUCGGGUCGAAAUGCGG